UAGGGAAUCUUCGGCAAUGGGGGCAACCCUGACCGAGCAACGCCGCGUGAGUGAAGAAGGUUUUCGGAUCGUAAAGCUCUGUUGUAAGAGAAGAACGAGUGUGAGAGUGGAAAGUUCACACUGUGACGGUAGCUUACCAGAAAGGGACGGCUAACUACGUGCCAGCAGCCGCGGUAAUACGUAGGUCCCGAGCGUUGUCCGGAUUUAUUGGGCGUAAAGCGAGCGCAGGCGGUUUGAUAAGUCUGAAGUUAAAGGCUGUGGCUCAACCAUAGUUCGCUUUGGAAACUGUCAAACUUGAGUGCAGAAGGGGAGAGUGGAAUUCCAUGUGUAGCGGUGAAAUGCGUAGAUAUAUGGAGGAACACCGGUGGCGAAAGCGGCUCUCUGGUCUGUAACUGACGCUGAGGCUCGAAAGCGUGGGGAGCGAACAGGAUUAGAUACCCUGGUAGUCCACGCCGUAAACGAUGAGUGCUAGGUGUUGGAUCCUUUCCGGGAUUCAGUGCCGCAGCUAACGCAUUAAGCACUCCGCCUGGGGAGUACGACCGCAAGGUUG
rnacentral:rRNA from 1 species